UUUAAAUAAAUGUUACUUUGAUAUCAUAAUAUUUUGAGCAUUAUGUACAUGAAAAAAUAUAGUUUGAUAACUGGUUUCAUAACAACAUGAAGAGGAAGUUUUAGAUAUAAUAAAACUAUGUCAUAUUUAAAUUUUAAAUUGCUCUUUUUCUUUAUUGUAUUCACAGCAAAUGAAGAUGCAUUCCUGGCGCAAACUGAUUCCGAUGAUAAAGGAUAUGGCGAUUUAGGGCUACCAAUUAUUAUUUUGGACGGCACUGCUGUGUUAGGGCUAGGUUUUCUAAUUGGUGUUUGCUGUGCUUGUGUACUUUUACGCAAAAAAGAAAAGAUAAA